rnacentral:tRNA from 1 species
GCAUCUAUAGUUCAAUGGAUAGAAUGCGGCCCUCCGAAGGCUGUGAUGACAGUUCGACUCUGUCUAGGUGCA